CAUAUAACAAAUUAUUAAAAAAAUAAGUUAAAAACGAGUAGGGACCCCACAAAGCAUCUAUCUGUCCGUCCUUAUGAGCGCCUAGUACUCAGAGACCAUAAGAGAUGGGGUAACCAAGUUUUGCAUCCAUACUUCCAAAUACCAUAUUUACUCCUCGAGUACCAGGCAUAAAAACAGUCGGACUUCCCAAUCUCUCUCUUUCCCUUGCUCCCUCUUCCUGAACAAGUGAAAAGGUUUCGGAAAAGAUGACAGGUGAAUUACCAAAACGUUCAAUAAAAUACCACAGAAUGCUCCCUGCUAUGUGUGUGGUAAAAGACCCAGAUCGUGUACCAUAUGUGUAAUUUCGUAGUAGUGUCAUAAAUAGUUGGUUUUAGACUGAAACCUAUCUCCCUCCUGAAUAAAAAAAUGUAGUCUAUGUUUCUUGGGUGAACAAAAAAAGGAAUGGAACCACGGCUUUUCACCCCAGGGACCAUUAAAUAAACUUACAUACAUAUGUAUGUACAUAUUUGCCUAACUUAAAGGAUGUACAUAUUGGUAAUGUACUUAUGCGCCAUUAGAAAAUAUGAAAG
rnacentral:lncRNA from 1 species